AGUGAACGCUGGCGGUAGGCCUAACACAUGCAAGUCGAACGGCAGCACAGUAAGAGCUUGCUCUUACGGGUGGCGAGUGGCGGACGGGUGACGAAUACAUCGGAAUCUACUUUUUCGUGGGGGGUAACGUAGGGCCACUUACGCUAAUACCGCAUACGACCUACGGGUGAAAGCAGGGGAUCUUCGGACCUUGCGCGAUUGUAUGAGCCGAUGACGGAUUAGCUAGUUGGCGGGGUAAAGGCCCACCAAGGCGACGAUCCGUAGCUGGUCUGAGAGGAUGAUCAGCCACACUGGAACUGAGACACGGUCCAGACUCCUACGGGAGGCAGCAGUAGGGAAUAUUGGACAAUGGGCGCAAGCCUGAUGCAGCCAGACCGCGUGAGUGAAGAAGGCCUUCGGGUUGUAAAGCCCUGUUGUUGGGAAAGAAAAGCAGCAGAUUAAUACCCCGCUGUUCUGACGGUACCCAAAGAGUAAGCACCGGCUAACUUCGUG
rnacentral:rRNA from 1 species